UGGCCAAGGAUGAGAACUCUAAUCUGAUUUCAUAUGCUUCUGCUCUGAUGGAUUAAAGGAUUUACCUGAGGCCA
rnacentral:snoRNA from 2 species